rnacentral:rRNA from 1 species
UACAGAGGGGGCAAGCGUUGUUCGGAAUUACUGGGCGUAAAGGGCGCGUAGGCGGCCCGCUAAGUCGAACGUGAAAUCCCCGAGCUCAACUCGGGAACUGCGUCCGAUACUGGCGGGCUUGAAUCCGGGAGAGGGAUGCGGAAUUCCAGGUGUAGCGGUGAAAUGCGUAGAUAUCAGGAAGAACACCCGUGGCUAAGGCGGUUCUCUAGUACGGUACUGACGCUGAGACGCGAAAGCGUGGGGAGCAAACGGG